rnacentral:rRNA from 1 species
UACGGGAGGCAGCAGUGGGGAAUAUUGCACAAUGGGCGAAAGCCUGAUGCAGCUAUGCCGCGUGUAUGAAGAAGGCCUUAGGGUUGUAAAGUACUUUCAUCGGGGAGGAAAAAACAAAACUAAUAAUUUUAUUUCUUGACGUUACCCGAAAAAGAAGCACCGGCUAACUCCGUGCCAGCAGCCGCGGUAAUACGGAGGGUGCUAGCGUUAAUCAGAAUUACUGGGCGUAAAGAGCACGUAGGUGGUUUUUUUAAGUCAGAUGUGAAAUCCCUGGGCUUAACCUGGAACUGCAUUUUGAAACUGAAAUACUAGAGUAUCGUAGAGGGAGGUAGAAUUCUAGGUGUAGCGGUGAAAUGCGUAGAUAUCUGGAGGAAUACCUGUGGCGAAAGCGGCCUCCUAAACGAAUACUGACACUGAGGUGCGAAAGCGUGGGGAGCAAACAGGGAUUAGACUACCCGU